CUUUGCGGCACAUUAAGAGUCUUGACAUUAGGCCAUCAUUCAUUUCCUCUUUCAUUCCGCCAACAUUGAUUCCGUGUCAGGCAUGUGGGAGACGGCGCAGACACAAAGGCAAACAAUCCCAAACACAGGCUUUGCCCUCCUUGUACGUUGAGACAAAGGAAGCAGAAAUGAGCCUGGGAUCACAGUCUGCGCUGAGCAGCAUGGAGCAAACAGGGCGUCCCCUUCUCAGUGACAGAGGGACUUGGGCUGACCAACCGUCUUGGCUUCCCUGGGACUGUCCCAGCUCAGCACUGAAAAUCUCAUGCCGAUGAAAACCCCCGCAGGCCUGGGCAGAUGGGAACCUUGGUCACUCUUGCAGAAACUUGAGUCAGACAACAGAGCCGCUGAGUACACCCCAACACAGAGGAGCCAGCGCUCACCGAGAGAUUUGCCAAGUGGAGUCCUUUUGAGACAUCCAAAUUUCACUGUCUUCAACUUAUUAAUGUGAAACAAAGAAUAACGUAUAUGUGUGUGUAAACACGAAUAGUAACAGCUUAUAUUUGUAAACAAUGUGCCGUGCGCCCAGCACUACAUUAAGCAGUCUCCAUGCAGCACCUCCAUUAAUCCUGGGGAGCACUGUACCCACUUCAAGAGGCCUUUAGAAGAGCAAGUAACAAAAACUGGUGGAAAAAAAGCACACAUUCAACAGGAAGCAACAUCUAGAGACCUUUCUGCCUUCCAGGAUACAAAAAGAAAACAGUUCAUAAACAACUUACAUCUAAACCAGUAAUGUUGUCUCCCUGGCUCAUAGGAGCUGAAGAAGAAUUCCAGUUACUGUAGUAAGAAUAUAAGGAUGUGGACUGGUUUGAGGAUGCUUGAGGCAUGACUAUAGCAAGUACUGCGCAUACAUAUGUGGACAUCGUAAGACACACUCUCUGCUUCCCCAGGCGAAAUCUGAAACUCUCCUCCUUUUAUGAUUUUCAGCCGGACUGCCUUCCCUGUUGUUAGUUUGUAACUUUCGCUCCGGCCCCCGCAGCCUCGCGCCUGCCUUCCCUCCACUGUCCUCAGCCAAGGUGUAGUAAAGCGUCUCCGAACGCGGCGCGACCCUCGCCCACGCCCGCUCGCGGGGGGACCGCACCGCCCCAGGGGUCCUCGCUAGGGGUUCCCGGAGAAGGGGUGGGAGAUGGGGGUGCGGGGGGGCACAGGAGCGCGGGCCAGCACCCAGACCUGCUCGGUACCGGGGACCCAGACCCGAGGAUGCCGGGCGGCCAAGGCCCCGCUACCCUGGCCGGCUCCGGGCGGAGGAAGAAGAGGAGGCGCCCAGACUGGAUACCCGCCUGGACCCGGAGCCGCGGCACCACCCCCAGCCCGCCC
rnacentral:lncRNA from 1 species